rnacentral:rRNA from 1 species
GAUGAACGCUAGCGGCAGGCUUAAUACAUGCAAGUCGAGGGGCAGCAUGAAUGUAGCAAUACAUUUGAUGGCGACCGGCAAACGGGUGCGGAACACGUACACAACCUUCCUAUAAGUGGGGAAUAGCCCAGAGAAAUUUGGGUUAAUACCCCGUAACAUAAUGAUGUGGCAUCACAUUAUUAUUAUAGCUACGGCGCUUAUUGAUGGGUGUGCGGCUGAUUAGAUAGUUGGCGGGGUAACGGCCCACCAAGUCUACGAUCAGCAGCUGAUGUGAGAGCAUGAUCAGCCACACGGGCACUGAGACACGGGCCCGACUCCUACGGGAGGCAGCAGUAAGGAAUAUUGGUCAAUGGACGCAAGUCUGAACCAGCCAUGCCGCGUGAAGGAUUAAGGUCCUCUGGAUUGUAAACUUCUUUUAUCUGGGACGAAAAAAGGCGAUUCUUCGUCACUUGACGGUACCAGAUGAAUAAGCACCGGCUAACUCCGUGCCAGCAGCCGCGGUAACAC